CUUUCUCUUUCUUCUUCUUUCUGUUCUUUUUCCUUCUUCUCUGUGGAUUUCAGUUCCAUGGAAUUUAAGCCUGAAUUUUAUGUAAACCAGUCACAGUAAGCUUGGUAACCUGAUGAAUUAAGGGAGAAGGUAAUGAUGUUGAUGUCGAUUGGGCUCUGAAAGAAGCAGGAAAAGGUUACUCUUUAUUAACAACGAUCGAUUUGAAGGAUGAACCAAUGGAUUGAGAAUUUCGAGGUUGACUUGGCUUGUCACCAAAACAGUGUUUUUCAGUUAUCAAAAAGAGAUAGCGCGCUUGAAGAUAUUUGUUUCCGUAGUUUAUAGAUUUAGCAGUUUAAGAAUGUUAUGUAUCUUUUACGUUUUUUUUUUUAAUUUCUUGUUCACUUGAAAAACAACACAUUAAUAUAUUCAUAUCACCUGAGAGAUUCUCAGUUAUAAAGUAUCAGAGAGUUUGGGCUUAUCUUAG